rnacentral:lncRNA from 1 species
GAGUACAAAAAUUGCUUGUUGUCAUAAUGCUCCCCUGUUCUAAUCUCCCGUUCCUCAAGAGAAGGCUUCGUACCUUAAGAUUCCUCCUGGUUGUGAAGUGCUGUGGCUCAAAGGUGGCUUUUUUAUCUCCAGAGAGGAAUCCCUGCCUCUUCCACCCCAGUCAGAACUGUCCCUUUUUGUGGGGGUUCUUUUUAUCCAGUUUUCAGUUCUCUCUCACAGGAAAUCUAAUGAAAUGUUGAGCGUUGGGAGCGGUAGAAGAUAACUGUGGCCAUUUUUUUUUGGUAGUACACCAAAACUAACAGUGGUACUGUGAUGACACAGAGAUGGAACAGGUGCUUGUCAUUUGGGAACUCACAGUCCAGUGGAAAAAUGAAUGGAAUGAAAUAUUAAAACAUAUUGUAAUAAGCGAUAUUAAAAUGUAUGAACAAAGCUAUCCUCUGGUAGCUUAGAAGAGGG